rnacentral:lncRNA from 1 species
CCGUCGGAAGUCGGCAUUUCCCCAUUUUUCUUUCGUCUUUGGAAUAACAAUAAGCUUCACACACCCACAUCAAACACCACUAAACAAGAAUAACAAACGCAACUAAAAUUUCAGCUCCUAUAAAUACAUAUCCUUAUCACAACUCCCACCAUUAUUUUACCUUGAAGCCAAGCAGGGACCAUAACAGCAACUCAGGUAGCUAGUGCUUCAUUUCUUGCAUUAUUUUAAAGUCACUUUCACUUCUCUUCAUGUAACUUACAACCCUUUUUUUCCAGAGCCAUGAACAUGGAGCAAGAGCAAGCAGCAGCUGCAAAAGACAAGAAGGAGAUUAACAAGAAGCGAGAUGAUAACAAAGACGAAGACAGUGACGAAGAUGGUGCUGAUGAUGAGCCAUCAUCAUCUUCGCCAGAGGAAUUCCUCAGAGCACAGCCAUGGACGAAGCAGAUCACAGUGAGAGGAUUCAUAGUGAGCAUAAUGAUUGGAUCAAUGUACAGUGUGAUAGCCAUGAAGCUCAACCUGACGACCGGAUUGGUUCCGAAUCUCAAUGUCUCGGCUGCACUAGUGGCCUUUGUCCUGAUCAGGGCAUGGACUAAGUUGGUUGGGAAGUUGGGAUAUGUUACAAAGCCUUUUACAAGACAGGAGAAUACUAUGAUCCAGACUUGUGCUGUGGCAUGUUACAGUAUUACCAUCGGAGGUGGAUUUGCUUCUUAUCUCUUGGGGCUAAACACAAAGACUUAUGAGCUUUCAGGUAUUCAUACAGAAGGGAACUCUCCUUCUGCUGUUAAGGAUCCUGGGUUUGGUUGGAUGACUGGUUACCUUUUUCUGGUGUGCUUUGUCGGCCUUUUUGUCUUAAUUCCUCUCAGAAAGGUAAUUAACUGAAUCCCCUUUAUGGGUUUCAUCUAAAAAUUAUAAAAGUUUCUUGCUUUACAACUUUACUAAUUAGUAGUUACAACUCUAAUCAAUUUUACAGGUGAUGAUUGUAGACAUGGAGUUGACUUAUCCUAGUGGCUUAGCCACUGCAGUUCUCAUCAAUGGAUUCCACAAUCGAGGCGACAAGAUGGCCAAGUACGUUACAAAGUUUCGAUCUUUUUACAGUACCCUAUGAAACCAACAUCAUGUUUCUAAAAAUAAGAUUCGAUCUUCCAUAUUAUGUUUCAGAAAGCAGGUUCGCGGGUUCAUGAACUACUUCUCGAUGAGUUUCGUUUGGGCACUGUUCAAGUGGUUCUAUGCAAAGACAGAGGAAUGUGGGUUCAAUCAGUUCCCAACCUUUGGGUUGAAAGCUUGGAAGCAAACGUAAGCAGAAAGUUGAAGUCUUUUUUUUCUCUGCAUAAAUUAAGUUGCAGAGAAAUAAAGUACUUUUCUGCUGAUAUUUCUGCAGGUUUUAUUUCGACUUCAACACAACAUACGUGGGAGCAGGGAUGAUAGUUUCACACCAAGUGAACCUUUCUCUUCUUUUUGGAGCUAUUUUGUCAUAUGGGAUCAUGUGGCCUCUCAUCGACGACCUUAAGGGAAAAUGGUUUGAAUCCAAUCUGGAAGAAAGCAGCAUGAAGAGCUUAUAUGGUUAUAAGGUCCCUAUCUCGAAUCAUUCCCCAAAAUCACUUCGUUGGAUCUAACUUUCCAAAAUUCCAUCCAACUUUCUUUUCACCUGCCAAUUUCGAGAAAAAAAACACUUUUCAAAGUGUUUUUUUUUUGCUUUCAGCUUCCUUCUAUUCUUAAAUAUGUUGUUGGAUUGGGAUAUUUGCUGCAGGUUUUUCUGUCAGUUGCACUCAUCCUAGGAGAUGGGCUCUACAAUUUCAUUAAGGUAAUGAGUUUCACUAUCAUCAACAUCCACGGCAGGAUGAGGAACAAGAAGCUCAAAUCAGAAGGUAACCCAACUUAGCUAAUUAAACACCAAACCAACAAUUCUUAAUGUACUGUUUUUCGCGGCAGAUUUGGGCUGUAAUUGGCCAGAUUUGGGGUCAAUUCCGGACGCCCAACCAAUUUCGUUGGAUAUGUUUUUCGCGGCCAAGUAACACCCAAUUCUGUUGAAUUUAGAGACUUAAUUCCGCCUAAUUCUAGCUUCCAAAUUCCGUUUGGAGUUGUCUGGAUUUGUCAAAUCCGAUGGAUUUAUCCUUGAAUUCGAAUUUCGAGGACUUAAAAAUUGUAGCCGAAACUGGCACCUUUGAGCGAAAAACGAUACCAAAGUUUUAAUUUGUUGUUUUUAUCUUCUAAUUUGGAAAGAUUAUUUAACAGGAACAGGGGAGUUUGAGAUAAAGCAACUGGAGGACAAGAAACAAACAGAGCUAUUUCUACGAGAGAAGAUACCUAUGUGGAUUGGAUUGGUGGGCUACAUUUCAUUCUCAAUCCUCUCAACAAUCAUGGUACCAAUGAUUUUCCCACAGCUGAAAUGGUACUACGUCGUCGUAGCCUACAUCCUAGCUCCAUCUCUGGCCUUCUGCAACGCUUACGGAGCAGGCCUCACCGACAUAAACAUGGCCUACAACUACGGCAAAGUCGCUCUCUUCAUCCUAGCAGCUGUUUCUGGGAAACAAAACGGAGUUGUCGCGGCUCUAGCAGGUUGCGGACUCGUAAAAUCGGUAGUCUCAGUGGCUUGCAUACUGAUGCAGGACUUCAAAACAGCUCAUUUGACACGCACGUCACCUAGGGCCAUGUUCGCUAGCCAGGUCAUGGGGACUGCACUCGGCUGCAUAAUGGCUCCCCUCAGUUUCUUCCUGUUUUACAAGGCUUUCGACGUUGGGAACCCGAACGGGGAGUUUAAGUCGCCUUACGCUUUGAUUUACAGGAACAUGGCUAUACUUGGGGUUGAGGGUUUCUCGGCUUUGCCUACGCAUUGUUUGCAGCUGUGUUAUGGGUUCUUUGCAUUUGCUGUGGGGAUUAACAUGGUGAGGGAUGCUGCUCCUGUGAAGAUUGGGAAUUGGAUGCCGAUGCCUAUGGUCAUGGCCAUCCCAUUUCUCGUUGGGGCUUAUUUCGCUAUUGAUAUGUGCCUGGGGAGUUUGAUAGUUUACGUUUGGAGCAAGAUGAAGCCGAAGAAGGCCGAGUUUAUGAUUCCAGCAGUUGCUUCUGGGAUGAUCUGUGGGGAAGGGUUGUGGACUCUUCCAUCGGCAAUUCUUGCUCUGGCGAAAGUAAAUCCGCCGAUGUGCAUGACUUUUGCCGGCUCCUAGGAAUUUGAUACUCAAACCACUCAUUUAGUUAUACCUAGUGGACAUAAUACCUACUGUUAUGACUUGUACCAAACCGGUUGUACCCGUUCCAACCGGAGACAAAUCUAUACACGUCAGUUACCAAGUUCAUCAUGGUUACUUCACAGUUUUACCAUGAAACUUAGAAUCAUUAGUCUCAUAGGUCUGUCUCCGGCAUAUCAGCAUUAGACCAGUUAAACUUGCAGCAAGGAAAAGAACCAACUGUGUGCUUAAUUUAAUAAUUUAUGAUGAUGCAGCAAAACUUCACAAACAUCCAAAAAGCUUUUCACCUGGCAUAGAUCAAUCACCCAAUUUUGCAUUGACAUGUGAACUGAAAGUAGAUGCUUAUCAUAAAAGACUUUUCCAUGAACUGUAUCAACACAGAGGGCCGCACAAAGUGGUGACAUCAAAUCAGCACAUGACGACACAGAAAUUAUGUCUCAACUUUGAUGGUCGUUUCUCACAUUGUUACUGGUAUAACCUGAUCUCCCUGAAAGGAUUUGUAGUUCUGGUUUGUUACACUGCUUGACCAAUUUUAGAGAUGCCAGGUGUAAACAGCAAAAUGAUAAGUCACUUUUAAGAAAGCUCUCUAUCACAAACGUAUAACCAAAAGUUCAAACCUAUGAGUACCCUAAGAUGCAUUUAUACCCAAAAGAUGAAAUGACCUGCUGGAACACAUCUUGAUUCAAAACUAAUUGUGACCUUUCCCAGUCAUUAUGUUGGUGCAGUGGGGUGUGCACUUAGAUAUCCAAGUUUAAGAUUGAUAGUGAUAACCACAACCAAUAAAUCCUUGUUGAUGUGAUAUGGCAUAACUAACUAGAGUAAAGAAAAAGCACUAUAAACCAAAUUAAUGCAUAGUGCGAAGAUACUAAUGGAGUAAUUUGGCUUUGGUGCAUGAGAAGCUGCAAUGUAAUAUGGCAGAUUGACUAUAUAAUUCAUUCAGCAAAACCUGCUUAAGAUUGGUUGGUGUCCCAGCUCUCACUAUAUCCUGUGCCAACCCAUACUGUAAAAAAGACACUAACUUAGCAUCUUGAGAACGUAGAUCGGAGAUACAACAGAAGAUUCCAAACUACUAUGAUACUAAGUCCAAAAUUCAUUAUCUUAUAUCUUGCUAAUUGCUCCUCUCACAAUUGUUUACUUUCACAAUAAUUCCACUGAGUUGUAACGUUGUUUUUCAAAACAAUUUGCUGACUCACUUGAAAGAUCGGUAAAUGAAAAGAACUUUACCUAUUUGAGCAAGUCCCCCAACUGUUGAAAAUGCCUGAAAAGCAUUUUCAAAACUCAAUUACACCACCGUAGUGAUCAAAUUCUACAUGUGCUCGCCGAGAUCUUCAGACAUGUACGCUCCAAACAGCGAUCGGCUGGUGAGCUAGCAUUCCCCUCUCGUAUUAAACUUAUGCUCUAGGCUCGAGUUCCAGCGAUGGCAACGGCACGUCGUCUGGGGUAGCUCGGUUAGACGGUUACUGCAGAUUCUGGAAGGGGUAUUUUUCGACAUUGGCCGAUUUCAUCCCAAUUAAUAAACACAGAAACUAGUGGAUGAAAUGGAGAAAUAGAAGAGCGGCUGAUCGGCGACGCUGACGAGCUGAAUGGAAGCUCAGAAAGUACGGGAAGAAAUAGAAUUUGAC